GCCUACGGGGGGCAGCAGUGAGGAAUAUUGGUCAAUGGUCGGGAGACUGAACCAGCCAAGCCGCGUGAGGGAUGAAGGUACAGAGUAUCGUAAACCUCUUUUGUCAGGGAACAAAGGCGGGGGCGUGUCCCCGGAUGAGUGUACCUGAAGAAAAAGCAUCGGCUAACUCCGUGCCAGCAGCCGCGGUAAUACGGAGGAUGCGAGCGUUAUCCGGAUUUAUUGGGUUUAAAGGGUGCGCAGGCGGUCUGUUAAGUCAGCGGUCAAAGCCCGGGGCUCAACCCCGGCCCGCCGUUGAAACUGGCAGG
rnacentral:rRNA from 1 species